AGAGAGCAGAACGCGAGGCAUUGGGAGCAUUGCCUCUUUACCAGCGCACCAUUCCUUAAGCUAUUUCUGCUUUUCAUAGUUAUUUUUGGACGGAGUAAAUGUCGUUUGAGACACAGUUUCUUCCAUAUGUUGAUGGAUUGGAACAUCUCUCCAUCAUUUGUUUGUUUCCAACAUUUGUAUUUCAUUACCAAAGUUUCAUUCACCAUCUGUUCUAGUCAUUAUUGAUA
rnacentral:misc_RNA from 1 species